rnacentral:rRNA from 1 species
AAUGAACGCUGGCGGCGUGCCUAACACAUGCAAGUCGUGCGAGAAAGUUCCUUCGGGAGCGAGUAAAGCGGCGCACGGGUGAGUAACACGUAGGUAACCUGCCCCCCAGUCUGGAACAACUAGAGGAAACUCUAGCUAAUGCCGGAUGAGACCACGAUCCCUUCGGGGGUUGCGGCCAAAGAUGGCCUCUACUUGUAAGCUAUCGCUGAGGGAUGGGCCUGCGGGCCAUUAGCUUGUUGGUGAGGUAACGGCUCACCAAGGCUGUGAUGGCUAGCUGGUCUGAGAGGAUGACCAGCCACACUGGGACUGAGACACGGCCCAGACUCCUACGGGAGGCAGCAGUGGGGAAUAUUGCGCAAUGGGCGAAAGCCUGACGCAGCGACGCCGCGUGGGUGAUGAAGGCC